CCCACGCGAGGCACCGCGGCACUUCCCCAGCGCCCUCAGCGUCACACGUGGCAGCCCCUUCCCGCCAUUUCCAAUCUGGCCGCGCAAGAGGUCGGGCGGGGCAGCCACCUCUUCCACGGCGCCCGGCUGAAAUGGAGACGCCCCAGCGUGAACAAGGAAGCAAAGCUUAAGAGCUCCCCGAGGUCACCCCCUAGCGCUGUCCGCACAGCGUAGAGGGCAGCUCCGAAUAUGCUGAGCAGCUCCGCAGAGGGACCUGGAGAAACUGAGGAGCCACUUACUGCUCUCCCCUCGAAAAAGAAAUCACCCCGGGCUGGAAGGAAAACUCAGGAAAGUUACCUGGAAACCAGACCGACCUGCUGCAAAAGUGUCUUUAUGAAUCUUCUGGCUCUUCUACUGGAUCUGUCUAUGCCUACUACCAUUUUGACAGAUUAAAAUCCAAAGGUUGAGGGUCAUCAACUCUGUUAUGCUGUGCAGGGUCAUCCGCCUGGGAGCCCUGGACCCCAUCAGGGCCGGAUUUGCUGCCCUGGGCUUUCCUCACUGCGGAGGAGCGACUGAUGGGGGCCCACAUUCCGAUCCGCGCACCAUAGCAUCGAGCCACCCAGUACAUGAACAGAAAGGGCGAUUUCUCCUUGUUGCUACAGGCCCUGGUCGAACACCGGGGGACAGUUUUUGGAUAUUUUUGUUGGGUGGUUGGGCUGGACACACAAUGCCCACAUAUUCAGGAACUCUAGCCUCUACCAGAAGCUGGAGGCUAGCAUAUUCUUCCCUCGGUGGACUUUCGCGUGGGGGACAUAGAGAUGCCACUCUGCAUCAUUGGGGAUGCACCCCGCUCACUAAUGCCAUGGCUCAUGAAGCCCUACACUGGCCACCUGGACCCCACCAGAGAACAAUUCAAUGUGCAUCUCAACCGGACCCGCAUGCAGUUGGCGUGCGCCUUUGGCAGCCUCAAGGCGAAGUUCAGGUGCCUCCUGACUCGCCUCGACGUGGGGGAGCACAACAUCCCCAAGGUGGCCACAGCAUGUUGUAUUCUCCACAAUAUAGUGGAGAGCAAGGGGGAGGCUGUCCUCCCAGGGUGGGGGACAAAGGCUGGCUGUGAGGGAAGGGCAUUCGACCAGCUGUGCACAGCUGCCAUUCGCCAGGCCCAUCAGGCCGGUGUGCGCAUCCAGAAGGCCCAGGGGGAGAGGUUCUCUGAAGGACCCCAGUAACUCUCCACAGGGCCUCCCCACUGCAGGCUUGUGCCUUGCCCCCCCUACAGCUUUCCCCUACAAUCCUUCCCUUCCCCCCUUCCCUGUAUAAUUAAUAAAGACACGAGGUGUGAG